AGUGAACGCUGGCGGUAGGCCUAACACAUGCAAGUCGAACGGCAGCACAGUAAGAGCUUGCUCUUACGGGUGGCGAGUGGCGGACGGGUGAGGAAUACAUCGGAAUCUACUUUUUCGUGGGGGAUAACGUAGGGAAACUUACGCUAAUACCGCAUACGACCUACGGGUGAAAGCAGGGGAUCUUCGGACCUUGCGCGAUUGAAUGAGCCGAUGUCGGAUUAGCUAGUUGGCGGGGUAAAGGCCCACCAAGGCGACGAUCCGUAGCUGGUCUGAGAGGAUGAUCAGCCACACUGGAACUGAGACACGGUCCAGACUCCUACGGGAGGCAGCAGUGGGGAAUAUUGGACAAUGGGCGCAAGCCUGAUCCAGCCAUGCCGCGUGAGUGAAGAAGGCCUUCGGGUUGUAAAGCCCUUUUGUUGGGAAAGAAAAGCAGCAGGUUAAUACCCCGCUGUGCUGACGGUACCCAAAGAAUAAGCACCGGCUAACUUCGUG
rnacentral:rRNA from 1 species